CCUGACACUCCUGUCCUCUUCCAUGUCACCGUCGAUCCAGAUCGGACGUAGGUCGUCUUCGCGGUGCGGGUGGGGAUGCAGGGGAGGUGUAGGAUGCGGACGAAAAGGGAAGGAGGAGGCCGGCGAGGAAGGCAAGCAACAGCGGGGAAGGAGAAGGUGAGCGAUCCUAGCAUGGGGAAGGGGCCGGGUGAGGCCUCGCGCACCUGCCGGCGGCCGGCAGGUCGACUUGUUGCGCCACCGCGUCGUCACCUCCUCUGCACCAUGAGAGGCGCCACCUCUGCCUCCACACCCCCCCACUGGGCAAGGAGCUCGAGGUGAACAGGCGGUGUGGGAAGGCGAGAGGAACCAGGAGCUCAUCCCUCCUCCCAUGGCUGCCCCGUGGAUCUGGAGGUGCCUGUUGCAGGCGGCUCGAGCGAUGCAAGCCGGCGGCGAACUAGGUCCAUGGACAUUGUCAUAAUGGUCACCUUAUCGCAGUGUAUUAUUUUUGGAUCUCAUAUUCCUCAAGGCGCUCCAUCCUCUGAUUCGAUGUCUGACGAUCUGAGAAAUAAGAGGAGGAAUAAUCCAGCAGAAGAAUUUGGUGAAGAAGAACAAGAAAAGAAUACCUUUAUCCUGAUAGGCAUGGAAACACCGGUUCGCAUUGAGUGCAUCAUCGCUAAUCAGCUACUAUGUAUGGUCAGCGGACAUGCUUGCUUAUUCCUGUAACAUAUCAUUACUCUAUCUGCUUAGCCUUUCUAACUUUUAAGAUUUGAUCAAUUCUUUAGAAGUUCGUACAGAUCUAGAAGUAUUUGGUUUUGUUGGUCAAAUCCAUUACCUGUAUGUCCUUAUUUAUUUUAUUGUUCGAACAAGAUAUCAGAUCACCUACAUUCAUUAUUCUUGAUUACAGUCUCAUACUAAAGUAGUCUAAAAUGGUCUGAAUAGUUGUAGUAAUUCAUAAAUAUUUUCAGUGUAGUUCUUAUUUGGUUUCUAGGCAUAGAAUUUACUUCAAAAUUUUGAUCUUUAUUUGGUUAGUAAGGCUCUAGAAUAAAACAGACCAAUGAUAUAUAUACAAACAGACACAAUAGGAGUUAACUGGUACCUAGCUUUUGAAACCUCUGAUAUAUACAAAAUAUUAUUUGAGUAGAACAGGAGAGAUGCAAUCUUAUGGAUAUUUCCGCAUUUGUAAGAAACUUUCCAGCUUGUUACUACCGAGAACUCCAGGUUCUGUGAAUUUUUAAGUCCUAGGCGAGCACUCCAGGUUCUGUGAAUUUUUCCUUCACAUUACUGCAGUAUUUCCAUACUUCAAGGAAAUAUAAAUGAUAUGGUUUCUCUCUCCCAGAUUUUUACUACCGAGAAUGGAAUUCAAGAAGAUAUACUUUUGGCGUUGUCUUAUUACCUCUCGUAUCUGAUAGAUAACACAAAGUUAUCAGUUUAGUUGGAAAAAGAAAAAGUCCAGAUCAAUUGUGAGGAUAUGAUCAUUGGCAUACUUACCCCCUGAUGAUGCCUCAUUUCUUCAGAAUUUGAGGCUGUUCUUGAUAUGCCAGGGUCAUUGGAUUGUUGGCUUCAGACAUACUGUACUGUUGGGCUUCAAGCGUACUUCAGUUCUAAACUUAUCCCUUCUCCCUUCAUUUUUCUAAGACUACUGUUGGGCAUUAAGUAGGAGUAGUUACUUAUACUAAGGAGCAGAUAUGUAUGACAUGUUAAUUUCACUUAUUUUUGGAACGAAGAUCUCACUUCAUUUAUAUUAGUCCUUGACGUCUGUGUUCUUUAUUGUGCAAAAUUGUUCCUUUCUGGGUAGAUGAAAGUGCAGAUUCCACCAAAGGAAGAUUUAGUAGGCUUUCUAUUACAUGUUGCUAAAAAUAAAUGAAUCGAAUUCUUUCUGUUUUGGUUCAGGACAAAUUUGAUUUUGGGAAGACAAAGGUCUGACAAGGAUGAGAAUGGGAUACCAGAUUACAACGAUGGAGGCUCGGACAUGGAUCUGCUCAUGCUCUCAGCGGGAAUACUGAAUGUUCUCGAAGCUUUGCCAUACACACGUGCAACUUUUGGCACUUGUGUGGGCUCCAGUUUGUGUCAAUGCAAUUUGCAUCUGUCAGCGGAUUAUGGCGAGCUUGGUUAUUGGCCUACAGGGUGCUCCACCGAUGGUGAAAAUACCUCACAGGAUGAUGUUGGAUAUUAUUCUACAAACUUUGGGCCUACCGGUGGCUGAGUAUCGAAGCAAGAUGUGACAGUGGCAUGAUGUGGAUGACUAUAAUUUCCAUACACCAACAUUAUCUUUUGGAGAUAAAAUAGCCGUAUGGCUAUUACAUGAGACCAUGUCAGAAGACCCUGCUGCUAUGGAAGCAAAAUGAUUCAUGAAAUCUGUGGUGAAAACAGAGAUAAGAUACUACAAUUACAGCAGCAUUGAGAAACCGAGGACACGAAAUGAGUCUGAAAAAUGCUAUGGGCUAAUUUGUUCUAGCUAGGCGAUGUGUGGUAGAAGAUGUACUCACAGGAAGACUAUCGUGCUGUGUAUAAACCACGUUCUACGAUUCACUUCUGUUAUGCAUAUUUACUUUCCAGUUUUAGGACUGAAAUCCAUCCAUUGUAAUGAAUUUGGUUGUAUGGGCAUUACCUAUUUGACUUAGGCUUGCUUCAUCACAUAUAGACUGCUUUUCUUUUCCCCACUACUUGUAUGACCUAAAACUAUCAUGUAUAUGAGGCAAGUUAUUAUCAAUGUUUCACAUUUUCUUA